AGGAAGGUAGUUCAGCUGGUCAGAAUCCCCGUCUGAUACGCGGGUGGUCAUGGGUUCAAGUCCCAUCCUUCCUACUA
rnacentral:tRNA from 1 species